ACUCCUACGGGAGGCAGCAGUAGGGAAUCUUCCACAAUGGACGAAAGUCUGAUGGAGCAACGCCGCGUGAGUGAAGAAGGGUUUCGGCUCGUAAAACUCUGUUGUUAAAGAAGAACACGUAUGAGAGUAACUGUUCAUACGUUGACGGUAUUUAACCAGAAAGUCACGGCUAACUACGUGCCAGCAGCCGCGGUAAUACGUAGGUGGCAAGCGUUAUCCGGAUUUAUUGGGGCGUAAAGAGAGUGCAGGCGGUUUUCUAAGUCUGAUGUGAAAGCCUUCGGCUUAACCGGAGAAGUGCAUCGGAAACUGGAUAACUUGAGUGCAGAAGAGGGUAGUGGAACUCCAUGUGUAGCGGUGGAAUGCGUAGAUAUAUGGAAGAACACCAGUGGCGAAGGCGGCUACCUGGUCUGCAACUGACGCUGAGACUCGAAAGCAUGGGUAGCGAAACAGGAUUAGAUACCCUGGUAGGAUAGCG
rnacentral:rRNA from 1 species